rnacentral:lncRNA from 1 species
GAGUAAGUCUCCUCAUUUCAACACUUGUGGAAACUUACAAUGGGCAAGGUGGAAAUCAAGUAGCUUCAUUCUGAAUCAACUCCAACUGUGUGGAGUUAGCAGAGUGUUCCUUCAUUUCUAGAUGGUACUUCAAUUGAAAAAAAAAAAUCCUGGGGAAACCAUCCCCACUGGGUUUGUCAGUGGUAUAGAGAAGUGGGUGCAGCUAAAUCGGGAUUGGAUAAGAGCUCUGCCUGAAAUGAAGGUAUACAACCCAGAAGACCGUGGGAGUGACCUGAACAAGGGAGGGACUUGAAAACAUGGGGAAGAUAAAGAUACAGAAUGGGGUAAUGGACCGUAUCAAAUGGAGUAUGGAGGACAGGUGGAUGCAUCCUUUGAAAAAAAGAAGUUGACUUAAAAUAUUCAAUUUUGUAAAUAAUUAUACAGAAGGAUUUCUGGUAACUUCCUUUCUGGUGUCUUCUUUGUCUUCCCUA